CUCGUCUGGAGGGGACGCGAGGAUCGCCCUCGCUGCCGCUUUGGCCAGUGCGUCGGCCCGGGCCCUGACAAGCUGCCCCAGGGGAAGCUCUUCGAGCCAGAGUUGGACCUCUGGCGAUUGCGUCUGCUCUCCUCUCUUGAUCUCACGAGGGGUUCGCUCGCCACCCCCCACCUCUGACGUGCCUUUCUCCCCUCCCGCGUGUGGAGGGAGCCAGCGCUUAGGCCGGAGCGAGCCUGGGGGCCGCGGGCCGUGAAGGCAUCGCGGGCACGACGUUCACCAUG
rnacentral:other from 1 species